rnacentral:rRNA from 1 species
AGUGAACGCUGGCGGUAGGCCUAACACAUGCAAGUCGAACGGCAGCACAGUAAGAGCCUGCUCUUACGGGUGGCGAGUGGCGGACGGGUGAGGAAUACAUCGGAAUCUACUUUUUCGUGGGGGAUAACGUAGGGAAACUUACGCUAAUACCGCAUACGACCUACGGGUGAAAGCAGGGGAUCUUCGGACCUUGCGCGAUUGAAUGAGCCGAUGUCGGAUUAGCUAGUUGGCGGGGUAAAGGCCCACCAAGGCGACGAUCCGUAGCUGGUCUGAGAGGAUGAUCAGCCACACUGGAACUGAGACACGGUCCAGACUCCUACGGGAGGCAGCAGUGGGGAAUAUUGGACAAUGGGCGCAAGCCUGAUCCAGCCAUACCGCGUGGGUGAAGAAGGCCUUCGGGUUGUAAAGCCCUUCUGUUGGGAAAGAAAAGCAGCAGGUUAAUACCCCGCUGUUCUGACGGUACCCAAAGAAUAAGCACCGGCUAACUUCGUG